rnacentral:tRNA from 2 species
GGUUCUAUAGUGUAGCUGGUUAUCACAUCGGAUUCUGAUUCCGGUAACCUGGGUUCGAAUCCCAGUAGGACCU